rnacentral:misc_RNA from 1 species
UAAUCUGCAUUGUCAUUUUCCAGUAAACGCAAGGCCAAGGCGAGUAGAGGCGACAUAUACUUGAGCAGAGGCAGCGCUGAGGGGUGUACUGUACUUAUACAUCAGUAAAAUGGCAGGAUUGAAUGCACAAGCUCUAGUGGAAAAACAGUUGACUGCUGCUACACAGAUCAUUGAACGACAACUAGAUGCAGAAAUAAACAGAUUGGACAACUUGGAAUCAGAUGACUUGGAUGCCAUCCGACGAGAGCGCUUAGCUGCCAUGAAGGAGCGACAGAAGAAGAAACAAGAUUGGAUCAAUAACGGUCAUGGAGACUAUUCUGAACUGUCUGAUGAAAAGGAAUUUUUUGAAACCACCAAGAAAUCAGAGAAUGUUGUGUGUCACUUUUACCGGGACCAGUUUGUUCGAUGCAAGAUUGCUGACAAGCAUUUGGAGAUUCUAGCAAAGAAGCAUAUUGAAACUAAAUUUUGUAAAAUUAAUGCUGAGAAGGCACCAUUUUUAACAGAACGACUCAGCAUCCGUGUGCUUCCCACACUCUGUCUGGUUAAGAAUGGCAAAACUAAAGACUACAUUGUUGGCUUCACUGACCUGGGAAACACCGAUGAGUUCUCCACAGACACACUGGAGUGGAGAAUUGGACGUGCAGAUGUAUUAGAGUAUCAUGGAGACCUUAUGUGCCCUCCCACUUUGGGCUCUAGUGGUGGACAGAAAAUGGACGUACAUCAGAAGAAGACAAUAAGGGGCGGAAGGAAUGGAGAUAGUGAUGAUAGUGAUUCAGAUUACUGACACAGAAAUGAAAACCAAGGAACACGAAACAUCUACUGAUGAUGGCUGCUAUUUAAGAAGUUUGGAAAGUUUGGCAAAGAGCAGCUGGAAUCAAGAUCAACACGGCCUCUCUAAUAUUCAUUCAUUUGAACUGCUAUUACUUUUGUCUUCUGAUAUUGUGUUCCCUAUUUACAACAAGUCCCCAGUGCUGUACAGUACUCCAUUUCUAUAGUUUUAUUUGGCAAUUGACUGACAAUUAUAUUGUUCAGCACAGAGAGACCCCAUACACGAGGUCCUAAAAAAAUGUAUGUAACAUGCUCAAAUUUAUGUACAGUACAGUAUAAAAACUAAUAAUUUGUUUGCCCUAAAUAAAAAGUUAGUUUGUACAUUAAUGCAGUAUGACACAUUGUACUGGAUGUAAAUUUUAUAAGCUUAUAUAAAUAUGAGUGUUAAUUACUGUUACCAUAAGGAUUGUCUCUUACUUGUUAUAUUCUGGGUAUAUAUAUUUUGUGAUUCAUAUUCCUCAUCAUUUUUACUUUCUUUAAUUAUAGUUUUUGAUCUUGGACUCUCCUUCAGUCAUUACAUGCCAUAACCUUUCAACCCAUUUGUUUUACUGAGCUUUGAUAUAUUGACACAUUGUAUGUUUUAGUUCUUAAGUAUAUACUCUGCAUCACUAAUUCAUUUUUCACCAUAUUAUACACAUGCUUUGUUAAUAAAUCUGUUUCAUUGUA